AUGGUGCCGAGAAACCAAAAUGAAGGAUCAAUCAGUGCUGUUUGCAGGACGUCAGAAGGUGAUUUCCUGGGAGCCUCAUGCAUGAAAUAUAGAGGUAUUUCGGAGCCAGCCACUUUGAAGGCUCUUGCCUGUCGCGAGGCUCUAGCGCUGGCAACUGACCUACACCUGGAUAGACUACUGAUUGCAUCCGACUAUCAAGCCGUGGUACGAGAUAUCCAGAGUCGGACGAGAGGUGCAUAUGCGACUGUUAUUAAGGAAGUUAAUGCGAGAGCGGCAACCUUUCAGCAAUGCUCCUUCAUCUUUGAAGGAAGAGAUUCUAAUGUCGAGGCACAUAGCCUCGCUAAACAUGUUUUUGGUCUGGAACCGGGGCGCCAUGUGUGGCUCUUAAACCCCCCAGACUUAAAUUGUAUCCCUAUGAACAUUAUUAUAAAUCAAUAA
rnacentral:rRNA from 1 species